UUUGUUCAGCAAAAAAAAAACUUGUCGAUCCUUUUCAGUUCUCUUCCUCAUUAUAUAUAUAUAUUUUUUUUGGGGCAAACCAGUUCUCUUCCUCCUCUAAGCUAGAAUUUUCAUUCUGUGAUUAUACAUGCAUACUCUACAAUCUAGAAUUAACAAAUAGAGGUUAUAAUUUGUCUGAGUAAUUGCCGAAUUGGAAGCUUAAUUUCGAAGUAGAAAAGAGAGUUCCCAAUACACAGGAUUAUAACAAUUCAUAAAGGAAAGUCUUCUUCUAAGUCCAAAUCGCUUUGGGAGUCGUUACACAGACUAUACAACUGGUGCUAUCAAAGAGAGAGAGAUAAGGACAUAACAAAAAUGGAGAGCAGAGAAGGAACAUAGGCUACCAUGAAGCCCCAUUUAUCUGACAAACAUCUAUAAUUUUUGGACUAAAAUCUUUCUACGGUACCUGAUUUCUUGUCUUCUUUUCUCAAUAUACUCCAAGAUUUGGAUACUCAUUCAUCUCUGCAAUCUCCUUCAUCUUCUCAACAAUAUGAUGUCUCAUUUAUACAGAUGGGAACUCACAAAGGUAGCUACGAAGGAAGCCAUUCUGGUAUGUUACCAAAUCGUUUAUUGAUUUGUGUUCUUCUUCUGCUGUAUUUUGUUGUCUUCAGAGUGCUGUCAACAUAAAAUUUGGUAAAAAAAAAAAAAUCUUCGGUAAGAGUUUUUAGAAGGUGUGUCGCGUCUUCGGUUACUCUUACAAUGAUCAAUAUUGUAUAAGAAUAAUACACAUGAUCUGUAUGUGGACUAACCUUGUCAUCAGAUACAAUCAACUCCAAGGUCUCACCAGACAUGCUCGUGUACUGUCGCCAAGAGCGAAGGACUUUCACCUGGAUUCUCCAAGCGGUUUUGUAAGGACGGACGUCCCUUAGGUAAGCGAAUGAUGCAGCCAUAAUCGGUGUUGUAGUUGCUUAUGAUUUGAAGAGAUGUAGUCGACUGUGGUUAACUUUGGUAGUGUAUCAGACGGAUAUAUAUAGUAGAUGGUGCGUAGGCUAGGGCUUUCGUCUCUAUAGAAGUGCGACUUGAGGAGCAAGUUUAUUAGUUUACCUACGUAUGGAAAGAUUAAUUAUAUAAAACAGAAAGUUACAGUCAAUCACAAUAUAUGCGCAGCAUAUACACCGCAAUAUUAUGCGUCGUAUUCAAAGUUGAUUAUGUGAUUAGUUGAAAGAGUAAAUGAUAUUUCUUAAUAUAGAUAAA